GCGUCUCUCUGUGAAGCCACUUUACUACUUCCUGAUUUUAAACUCAACAGUUACAUUUUUAAAGAGACAUCGCACAUUGGAAUAUAAACAGUUGAAAGCCAAAUUCGAAAUAUAAUAGAGCAGCUUGAGCCAUGCCGGUGCAAUCUGAACUUUUGGAUGUUGUUUUAGUUUAGGGUAGUCAGGCAUUUUUGACUUUUGAACUCUGUUUCUAGCUGGGCUGCUAACCAUCUUCUCCUCCA